GGGGGCGCUUACCGUGAGUGGAGCGGGUCGACCUGACGGCAGCCCUGAGGAGGAGGAGGAAGAGGAGGAGCGUGCGGCUGAGGCAGCGGCUCCGUCGCGGAGCGGCGCCCGGGCCGGGAAGGCUCCGGCGGGCGGCCGGCGCGCUGCCUCAUGGUACCAGGGAUCAAACUCAGGACCUGGUGCUUGCCAGGUAGACGCUGCGCUGCUGAGCUACAUCUCCGGCAGUCAUUUGUUUUUCUGACAGCUACCUUUUCUAGCUCUUCUACCUCCGGACCAAGCUAUGUGGUUGUUUCUGGCAAGUGGAUGUAGACAAAAGUAGCUCAUCCAAUAGAAUGGCAUAUUUGCUUGCAAAGGUCUCACUCAGGCCAGGCAUUACACAGUGGAGACCCCAGAAGUUUGGAGAAGAUAGGAGCAUGGAUCGUCUGAGGAAAGCUACAAGGAAGGUUCAGAGCUGGCCCAAAAGAAAAACCAUGGGAGCUACAACUCUCUGCAGUGCUACAGGGGCAGAGCCACCCAAGCCCUUUGGCAUUCACAACUUGCCACAGAUUGCCUUGGAUACUGCACAUGGAACUACAGGACUUAAUAUUUGCCCUGCUGGAUUUUGGACUUGCUUUGGUUCUGUUCUUUGUUUCUCCCUGUUUGUACCUUUUGGAAUGAGAAUGUCUAUCUUAUGCCAUUGAAUGUUGGAAGGAUUUAACUUUCUUUUCAUUUGUGCAGGGGCUCACAGCUAAGAGUUUGACUUAAAUCUCAGAGGAGACUUGGGACUUGAACUUUUCAGCAAUGCUGAAACUGUUAGGACUUUGACAACUCUUAAAGUUGGACUAAAUGCCUUUUGUAUAAAGGGAUAUGCAUAUGCAUGAGUCUUUGAGGGGCCAGGGGUGAAAUGUUAUGGUUUGUGUCUAGAUGUCCCCCUAUAACCUGACCUUGUGGAAGUUUUGAAAAACUAGGUAGAGCCAUCAAUUGGCUCAACACUCUUCUCCCUAAGGAGAUAGUGGUCCCUUGUAUGGAAAGAGAAAGUCCUCAGUAGGGCUUUCUUUAAUGCUUCUAUGAAAGAUGAUGGCAUCAUCUUAGCUUCAGACAGAGACAUCUGUCCAGUGAAUAUGCAAGUCUCACAAGGGACAUUUUGUGUGCUCAUUGAGUCUCCUCCUUCUGCAUGGGAUACCAUUUUAAAGACCUG
rnacentral:lncRNA from 1 species